UACGGGGGGGGCAAGCGUUGUUCGGAAUUACUGGGCGUAAAGGGCUCGUAGGUGGCCAACUAAGUCAGACGUGAAAUCCCUCGGCUUAACCGGGGAACUGCGUCUGAUACUGGAUGGCUUGAGUUUGGGAGAGGGACGCGGAAUUCCAGGUGUAGCGGUGAAAUGCGUAGAUAUCUGGAGGAACACCGGUGGCGAAGGCGGCCCCCUGGUCGGAUACUGACGCUGAGACGCGAAAGCGUGGGGAGCAAACAGG
rnacentral:rRNA from 1 species